rnacentral:rRNA from 1 species
GAUGAACGCUAGCGGGAGGCUUAACACAUGCAAGUCGAGGGGCAGCAUAGGGUAGCAAUACUCUGAUGGCGACCGGCAAACGGUGAGUAACGCGUAUGCAACCUACCCUGUACAGGGGGAUAACCCGGAGAAAUUCGGACUAAUAUCCCGUAAUAAUAUCCGGAGGCAUCUUUGGAUAUUUAAAGUUCCGACGGUACGGGAUGGGCAUGCGUAACAUUAGCUGGUUGGUAAGGUAACGGCUUACCAAGGCUAUGAUGUUUAGGGGUCCUGAGAGGGUGGUCCCCCACACUGGUACUGAGACACGGACCAGACUCCUACGGGAGGCAGCAGUGAGGAAUAUUGGUCAAUGGGCGCAAGCCUGAACCAGCCAUCCCGCGUGCAGGAAGACGGCCCUAUGGGUUGUAAACUGCUUUUCCAGGGAGAGAAACUUACGCACGUGUUGCGUGACUGACGGUACCCUGGGAAUAAGCAUCGGCUAACUCCGUG